rnacentral:misc_RNA from 1 species
AUAUAAAACCAAAAAAAAACCCACCUUACCAAAUCAAUCCUAAACCAAAAAAACAAAACUAAAAACAUCACACUACCUAACUUCAAACUAUACUACAAAACUACAAUAACCAAAACAACAUAAUACUAAUACCAAAACAAAAAUAUAAAUCAAUAAAACAAAACAAAACCCUCAAAAAUAAUACCACACAUCUACAACCAUCUAAU